GCGGAUGUAGCUCAGUGGUAGAGCAUCGGCUUCCCAAGCCGAGGGUCACGGGUUCGACCCCCGCCAUCCGCU
rnacentral:tRNA from 1 species